AAUACAAUAUUUGUUAUAGUUCAGUUGAUCAGAAGAGAUCAGAACCAGAGCCCAGCUGUGUGUUUAUGAAGAGUGACGAGUCUAUAGAUCAUCCACAACAAUUCAGUUCAGUUCACCAGAAGAAAUCUGAAGCAGAGCCCAGCUGUGUGUCUAUGAGGAGUGACGCUUCUUUGUAUCGUCCAGUUAAUUUUAAGAGUGAUGACACAAGGUCAGUCCUGCAACACAGAUCAGAAACAAAACCCGUCUGUGAGAAAUAUGACCAGUCUAUGAUCCAACCACAAGACAGCACGUAUCCUGGUGUGAGGUAAACUGUGGGAUUUUUUAAUGCAGUGCAUCAUCACACAUUACUCAAAUACAUCAU
rnacentral:lncRNA from 1 species